UUUUAUGAGAGUUUGAUCCUGGCUCAGGACGAACGCUGGCGGCGUGCCUAAUACAUGCAAGUCGAACGCUUUUUCUUUCACCGGAGCUUGCUCCACCGAAAGAAAAGGAGUGGCGAACGGGUGAGUAACACGUGGGUAACCUGCCCAUCAGAAGGGGAUAACACUUGGAAACAGGUGCUAAUACCGUAUAAUAAGUAAAACCGCAUGGUUUUACUUUGAAAGGCGCUUUUGCGUCACUGAUGGAUGGACCCGCGGUGCAUUAGCUAGUUGGUGAGGUAACGGCUCACCAAGGCAACGAUGCAUAGCCGACCUGAGAGGGUGAUCGGCCACAUUGGGACUGAGACACGGCCCAAACUCCUACGGGAGGCAGCAGUAGGGAAUCUUCGGCAAUGGACGAAAGUCUGACCGAGCAACGCCGCGUGAGUGAAGAAGGUUUUCGGAUCGUAAAACUCUGUUGUUAGAGAAGAACAAGGAUGAGAAUAAAACGUUCAUCCCUUGACGGUAUCUAACCAGAAAGCCACGGCUAACUACGUGCCAGCAGCCGCGGUAAUACGUAGGUGGCAAGCGUUGUCCGGAUUUAUUGGGCGUAAAGCGAGCGCAGGCGGUUUCUUAAGUCUGAUGUGAAAGCCCCCGGCUCAACCGGGGAGGGUCAUUGGAAACUGGG
rnacentral:rRNA from 1 species